AUUGAACGCUGGCGGCAUGCUUUACACAUGCAAGUCGAACGGUAACAGGCCUUCGGGUGCUGACGAGUGGCGAACGGGUGAGUAAUGCAUCGGAACGUACCCAGAGGUGGGGGAUAACGCAGCGACAGCUGUGCUAAUACCGCAUGUGAUCUGAGGAUGAAAGCGGGGGACCGAGCAGCAAUGUUUGGCCUCGCGCCUUUGGAGCGGCCGAUGUCGGAUUAGCUAGUUGGUGGGGUAAAGGCCUACCAAGGCGACGAUCCGUAGCUGGUCUGAGAGGACGACCAGCCACACUGGGACUGAGACACGGCCCAGACUCCUACGGGAGGCAGCAGUGGGGAAUUUUGGACAAUGGGCGCAAGCCUGAUCCAGCAAUGCCGCGUGCGGGAAGAAGGCCUUCGGGUUGUAAACCGCUUUUGGCAGGAACGAAACGGUGUCCGCUAAUACCGGGCGCUAAUGACGGUACCUGCAGAAUAAGCACCGGCUAACUACGUG
rnacentral:rRNA from 1 species